UAAUAUGAAAAUGAGUCAGUCUUAUAUUACAGAGAUAACCAAGCAGAAUCUUAAACUGCAGAAUUUCCCCUGCUUUGUUUCUGAGGUUUUCCUGUGCGUGACAGUGGCUAGUUAAGUCAGAUGUCACUUUCUUAACACACCCUGCUAUGUUUAAGAAAAAUACUGGAAUACAUCCAAUAUUAUAUCACAUUUGUAGCAUAUGAUACCAUAUGUGAUUUGGAAAUUUGUGCAGUACAGUACUUACAUAAUUUAUAAAUAUACUUGUUUGCUUUAUUUUGGUUUAGUAUUUAGAAAGACAAAGAAAAUAAUUCAAAUAAGCAAACAGGUGACAACAAACUUUAGCCAUUAAAAAUCAUUAGUAUUCUAGAGCAGUGGUCCAUGAUAAUCGUAGAAUAUAUUGGUAAUAUUAUUAGUAUAUAAUAGGUACCACUAUUACAUUAAUCUGUUUCUUAAAAUUUUCCAAGUAAUUUGACACAGAAGAAAAAAAAGCAACUUGGAUAACUGAAUUCCACAGAUUUAAAUGGUAAAUGGUAUAUUGUUAUUUACUUUUAAUCCGCUUCUGUGUGUUUCUCUUUAAUGUGGCAAAGAGGCCUGUGGCACCUUAUAGACUGACAUAUUAGCACAUAGGCUUUCGUGGGUGAAUACCCACUUCGUCGGAUGCAUGGGGUGGGGGAGGACCCCUGCGCUGACGCCCCCAUCCCGCCCCUUCCACCAGAGGCCCCUGCCCUGGUGAGAGCUCAAUUUUACUGCCAUGGCUGAUGGUUAGCGUCUGGCACGGAGCUGGACCGUCCCGAAGGCCGAAGUUAAAAAUUAAAGAUGGUUGAGUUUUCUUUUUAUGAGGCACAAAAGACUUCAGCAGUCUUGUAGAGGCUGUUUUUAUGCCUUGCUAGGAUGGAUGGAGUGGUUCUUAGAAGGUUCUGCUGGUUACUCAAAGAUUCCAGGGGAUGCUGAUGAGAGUAGACCUUCUACUCUCCAACUAAUUGGAAGCCUUUGAGGAGGACCACUGGGGAGUCCCGACGACUGCUGGAUUUUGGUGCAGGCGGGGAGACCCUUUGGGAUGAUGGACACCAGGAAAGCAGGACCCCCCACAGGUGCAGUGGACACAAUAUACGGAUGCGAGGCCCAGGACCUUCUACUCUCUGGCUGAUUGGGAGCCUUCGAGGAGGACCACUGGGGAGUCCCGACAACUGAUGGGCUUUGUUGCAGGUGGGGAGACCCUCGGGGAUGCUGAUCACCAGGAAAACAGCAAGACCCUUCACAGGAUGACCUCCUGCUGUUCUUCCCUUUCUGUGGACUUCCCAUUGCCCUGCUGAUUUGUAUGUAAAUGGAGCUUCCGCUGUUUUUGGUCACACCUUGCUUAAUUUCAUUGGAGACAGGAAGACAGCUGCCUUCCAUUCUGUCUAAGAAAAGACUGGAAGAUAAUGAGCUUUCAAACUUUUUCAACUCCUAACUGGGCUCUCAACUUUAAACGAACUAGUCCAAAUGAAGAAAAUAUUCUCUCUGCAUCUGCAGAGAGGUGAUUGCCAUCAAAAGUUGGUUUAACACUUCAAUAAAUUCUUGUUCCAAUUGCUUAGCCACCAUCUUUCACCAAUUUAUUGGCUUGACUUCCUUUAAACAUCAGCAAAAACCAUGUACAGCUUGAAUAGUUUGCUUUCAGCCCUGAAAUUGAUUAUGGUUGGCGUGAUUGAUUGGCUGAUUACUGGAUGCUGUAAUGGACUUGCAUCCCCUUUUUUCUACUGGCCUCUUGUGCUGUCAUGACAUAGAUUCUUCCUCUUAAUCCCGCCUCUCUGGGGCUACCAAUAAAUUCAAGACAGGCUUCAUGUGGGAGAACACCCCUUUAUUCAGCAAAUAAUCUACCAAGCAAGAAAUGAAAUCUUAUCAAUAAAGGGAAAGGUAACUACCUUUCUGAAUCCAGAACUGUAAAAUCCUUCCUGGCCAGAGGAAAAACCCUUUCACCUGUAAAGGGUUAAGAAGCUAGGAUAACCUCGCUGGCACCUGACCAAAAUGACCAAUGAGGAGACAAGUUACUUUCAAAGCUGGAGGGAGGGGGCAAAAAAAAAAGGGGGUCUGUGUGUGUGUGAUGCUUUUGCUGGGACUAGGUCAGGAAUGCUUUUCAGAACUUCUGUUAAAUUAGUAAGUAAUCUAGCUAGAAAUGUUAGAUUUCCUUUUGUUUAAAUGGCUGGUAAAUAAGGUGUGCUGAAUGGAAUGUAUAUUCCUGUUUUUGUGUCUUUUUGUAACUUAAGGUUUUGCCUAGAGGGAUUCUCUAUGUUUUGAAUCUGAUUACCCUGUAGGGUAUUUACCAUCCUGAGUUUACAGAGGUGAUUCUUUUACUUUUUCUUUAAUUAAAAUUCUUCUUUUAAGAUC